UUCCCCAAAUUUCAACUUAGGUUAAACAAAGCAUAAGUGGGCUUGGGCUUGGGCUUGUGUGGAAAAAUCAACAGCGAAACAAAAAAGAUUAGCAAGCUGCCAGUAAUGGAGGACAGUUCGGAGAGAGAGAGAGAUGGAAACCAAGCUCAUCGAAAAGGUCAGCGAAGUAAUCUCAGCUAUAAAGAGCGCUAAGCACGUAGACGAAGUCGUUUGCGCACUUCACUCUCUCGCUCUCCUUCUCUUCCCUCUCGAUUCCUCUCUCCUCUCAGGUAGUGUUGAUCAGCGCUAUAGAGAGCAGGUCCUAAGUGCUAAGGUACCUUCAGAAGAAAAGAGGGAGUGGUGGCAAGCGUUCUAUCAAGGAGCUGCAUUUCUGACAUUGGCUCGGUUUCUGUUGCUUGAUUGCUGUUGCACACAGAUCUCGCUUCCAAUUGGCUAGCUUGUUUCCCCCUUUCAGCGCGUAUACAUGUCUUUGAUGUUUUCUUUGUUGAUGGACUUGCCACUGAGGUUGUUCGGACCUUGGUUCCUUGUCUACGGCAGAAUGCAACUGAUGACCAUGAUGUUAAUUCUAUCCACUCCAAUACUGAAAGGUUACUUGUACUCUGCUUGCUGGAAAAUGAUGGGGUGCUCCAUAUGGCUAGAGAAUUUUGGCAGUCCAAAAAUUCUUUGAGUGAACGUUUAACACCCGUUGUAUCUAGGGUGGCGCAGAUAAUUGCAUCUAUUCCUGACAAAGCAAGAUUGGGAGCCCCAACUUCACUCUCAUCACACAAAUUACCAUUCAACUUCUUUCAGUAGCAGAAGAAAAGGAUGAGAAAAUAUAUGAUAAUCGAACUCUCUGCAAUAAAAGCAACAUGGGUGAUGCCUUGCUAUUUGUUGGGGAAACAUUUUCUCUUAUUUGUCGACGUGGAUCUGCUGACGUGAUUUCAAGUGAAAUAACUCCACGGGUAUAUUCAAGGACUUGAAGGACCUGAUAAGCCAAUUGCCAGAUGAUAUCCUUGUCCAUAUGUUGUCUUUCUUGACUUUGGAAGAAGCAGUCAGAACUGGUGUUCUUUCACACAGAUGGAAACAUCUGUGGCCAUUUUUCAGUGGUAGUUUAAACUAUGAUGAUCCAGAUACAAUGUGGGACAUUGCUGACUAAAAGGAAAAAAAAUGAAAUUUGAAAGGAAUAAGUUUAUAAAAAGGGUGAACCGUAUUCUAAAAUUACUCCGAGGCUCAAAUUUAGAUGAAUUCUGAGUUUGUUUUGAGUUUAAUAAAUAUUUUAAAGAUCUGCUUGAUGGAUGGGUUGACUUUGCAAUCUCAAAGGGAGUUAAGAGACUUGAAUUGGACUUUUCACCAACAUGGGCAUGCGUAGGUCCAAAGCGUUAUACAUCUCCACAUGAUUGUUUUUCUGUUGGAGUAUCUUGCAUCAAGUCCCUCACUCUUCUAUACGUACAUGUAACCAGCUAGCUUCUCGAGCAUUUCCUUUCCAAUUGUCCCCUGCUUGAAAGAUUAUAUGUCAGCAAUUCUGAAGACUUAGUGAAUCUGAAGAUUUGGGGUUCAACACUGCGGUUGAAGUACUUACACAUAAUACAGUGUUCUCAAUUUAAAAGUAUUGAGGUGUUUGCUCCAAAUCUGGAGUCAUUUGGGCUCGUUGGUGGGAUAAUAGAAACGCAUGUUAAUUAUGCACCCCAUCUUCUAGAUGUACAUAUAGGUGGAUGCGAACCUGUGAAGUAUGCAAUUUGCCCUCUGUCAAACUACCUUUCUCAGCUACAGAGUUUGGUGCUGAAUAUUUAUCUCUCUCCUUAUGAAAAAUUGGAACUCCCAAAAUUUCAAACAUUAACCAAUCUUAGACACCUUAAAUGGAGAGUUAUUGAAUCUGAUGGAGAAAGCCUCAUCGGUUUAAUACCAAUGAUAGAAGCAGCACCUUUUUUCCAGAAAUUUAAUUUGGAGUUGUCAUGGUGUAAACCUCUAAAAAAAAGAGAAUUGAGGUAGGUGAAGAAACAUCCUAAUUAGCAUAUCAAAGAGGUGGAAAUAGUGGGAUUUGUGGGGCGUCCAAUCGACAUUGAACUUGCUUGAAAGUGCCAUCAAGCUUGAGAAGAUUGUCAUUAUUCCUCGUUGUCCGGCUCUUGUGGGAACCCCUUGGGAGUUUGAUGAGAUUGAGAAGAAUGAACGUGCUAUAAAAGCUGCCAAGCAGCUCAAGAAAAAUCUACCCCUUGGAGCUGAAUUACUUAUUCUUUAGUCAUCAGCAUCACUAAUAUAUAUACAUACUACUAAUUUGUGGUUGAAACGUGAUGAUUGUCUUUUUAAUGUUUUUCAUUGUAUUAUUAGUUUUGUAACUUUCUGUUAUUUCAAUUGAAUGAUGGGAAAAUAAGAACUUUAUUGUAUCUUAGUAUUGUAAAUUUUUGUAAACGUUGAAUGAUGGGCAAAUAAGAACUGGCUGACACUGACAGUCGCCAAUAUAUUUGGUGAGAUCUCAUUGAAUUUGGUGAGAUUUUUGCCAAUUUUCGCCA